CCUACGGGGGGCAGCAGUGGGGAAUAUUGCACAAUGGGGGAAACCCUGAUGCAGCAACGCCGCGUGAGCGAUGAAGGCCUUCGGGUCGUAAAGCUCUGUCCUAAGGGAAGAAUACUGACGGUACCUUAGGAGGAAGCCCCGGCUAACUACGUGCCAGCAGCCGCGGUAAUACGUAGGGGGCUAUCGUUAUCCGGAAUUACUGGGCGUAAAGGGUGCGUAGGCGGCCCUUCAAGUCAGGGGUGAAAGGCUACGGCUCAACCGGAGUAAGCCUUUGAAACUGUAGGGCUUGAGUGCGGGAGAGGAGAGUGCAAUUCCGAGUGUAGCGGUGAAAUGCGUAGAUUUUGGGAGGAGCAACAGUGGCGAGGGCGGCUCUCUGGACUGUAACUGACGCUGAGGCACGAAAGCGUGGGGAGCGAACAGGAUUAGAUACCCUAGUAGGC
rnacentral:rRNA from 1 species